CCAAAAAGGAAAUUUAAUUAUUGAGAUUUUAGAUAAAGCUACAAUCAGAUAUUUGCACACGAUAUCAGAAUGUGAAUUCGUAUGAUUGCGAUACUUAAGCAAUCUCAUUAUUCACAGUAGUGAAAAUCUCACGAUUAUUUCUGAAUUUACUGUACAAAACUGAUAAACUAUCUUCAACAAACUGUUGUCCUGUUACUGAUAAAUUUUCUUCCUUAUAUGAUUGUCAAAUUUAAAAUAAUUGGUGAAUAAAACCCCUUAGAACCCUAAAGUGAGAACAAUUGAGAUUCAUUCCUUUUGGACAGUUCUUUCGCAUCCGAUCUUUUAAAAAAAAGUGACUAUGAUGUCAGAACAGUCAAAAUAAAAAGCUAAAAAAGUUUAUAUGAUGUUAAUGUAAGGAAGGUAUCAAUAACUCUAUUAAUGGGAUCUUAUAAUGAUGUUAGCCUGUUAAAAUACAAAGGCAAGCAAUAUUAGAUGACAGGGAUACCAUAUUCUUCUACAUAAAUAUGUCUAAGUUAAAUCUCAUUUGCUUACCCUCCCUUAUAUACAAGAUGCUGUGGAUCAAAUUUCAUUUGGU
rnacentral:lncRNA from 1 species